rnacentral:lncRNA from 1 species
UUAUCCAAUUCCAGAGUAAAAUACUCAGAGAAAAACGUAGAGAGAAAGAAAGAGAGAAAGAGAGAGUUCCGGCCAAGAGAAAGGCCGAUUGUGGUGGUGUUGUGUUCCGGAGACUCUGAUCGUUUGAGAACUAACUCCGGUCAAGAAUGGGAGAUCAAGACAAGGAGAAGAGCAUGGAGAACCCAGACGUGGUUCACAAGGUAUAUGAUGGGCCGUGGCUCCAUCAGACCGAACGGACGGUCCAUGCGACCGCACCGCGGCUCUGCUCGGUUCCUAAGUCCCAUCCGGCUCUCCUUAUCUAUUUCAAUUCUUUUCUCUUCUCUUCUCUCUGGUUAAACACGAAAGGUUGUGUUGGUUGAGUCCAAGGGACACGUCCCUAGGCUUUCGCCGAACAUAACUAGACCGCUAGCCUAGACACGGGUCGGUUAGACGGAUGAUCCGAUCGUACCAAGACUGGGCGGUUAGGACGAACGGUUGGAAAUGACCCAAAGGGCACGAGUUGUCAAGAGUCAUGAGUGUUCAAAGGUUGUGAGUUACCAAAGGAUGUCAGGGACCAAAAGGUACGAGUUACCAAAGGUUGCGAACAUCAAAAGGUACGAGGACCAAGAAGCACGAUUGGCCAAAUGGUGCAUGUUCCAAACGGUGUCUUUCGGGACAGGUUAGGACCGAUCCUUAUGGAUCAGCCUAUGGCUUGUCUAGUUAAGACAAGGUCACGGUUUGUCUAAGCCAAGGUAGAGUCGCAAGGUCUGACCGGUUGCUAAGCCUUCUGAGGCUUACUAGGCCGAUUGGAUCCAGGCCUAAGGCUGGAUCAGGUAAGGGAGUCCGUUGGGCCAUUGAGCCGGACUCCAUUGGCCGGUCGCACCUAGAUUCUAUCCGGAUAGACGGAUUGGUCUUUGGGGACGAUCCGGAUCUGUUCGUGUAUUCUGUUUAUCUAUUCUAGACUAUCUAUAUGAUUCUAAGUCAAGGGGUGGUUGGUUGAAUGACUUAGGAUACGGUAGGUAGGUUCAUACGUUUUAUGAUUAUGUUGACUGAGGUUUAUCUAAGUUCUAGGAACCAAGCCAAGCAUUGUAGAAUCAAUCCGUUCAAUUCUCGGUUAUGAUUAAUGCUUAUCUGGUUGUGGUUUCAGGAACUAAGGAUGGUUCUGGUCAAGCCAAGGAGCCGUGAAGGCUCAGUCAGUGAGAGGCUGUGUAACGUGUGGUUAGAUGAUGCUAGGGAUGAACUAGUGAUUGUCUAUGAGACUGUUAAGAAGUUGUGUAUUGAAUCUCAUGUUUCUAAGUAAUACAAAGUUUAUACAUUGUUAUUCCGCUGUGCAAUCUGUUCCUUUGUUUAUGAACCUCAUAUUCGAAUAUGACUUAGUGACCAAUAGACUUAAAAAUGGAUCAAACAAGCAGAGAAAUUAAUAAGUAAGCCUGCGGACUCCAUCAGGUCGAGAGGCCAAGGUUCGGGUCUUACAAGUUGGUAUCAGAGCAUGCUUGAUUCUAGGAUAGUUGGGUUAGGCAGUCCACACACACACACGCAGCCAGCUGAUUAGGUCUCACGGUGAGGUUUGAUUGCUUAGUCUAGGGAUUGUUUUGUUCUGUUUAUGUUAGUGUGUUUCGUACUAACAUUGUCUGAAUCCUUAGGCUGGAAAAAGCAAAUCGGGAAAGUCCCGAAAGAGUAAGAAAACAGCCGGUCAGUCUAGUCAAGUGGCCAUGGACGGGACCAAUCUAUCCGGAUUGCAAACCGAUCCGGCCGCAGCUGACACUAGAGACGUGUUGCCAACUGAUCAGGCUAAUCUUACGGGGAUGCAACAGAAUGGUCAGGAACAUCGGGAGAGUGAUGAGGAAGUGGAAUCCUCGAACGCUAACUGUGAUGGUGACCAGCAUGAGAGAGUGGCCAAUGGAACGGCUAAUGUGCCCGCAACACUGUCCAAAGAGGACUUGUUAGAGGCCAUGAAGGUAAUGGGGACUCAGGUUGCGGCUAUGGCGCAACUGUUCACGCCACUAGUGAACUCCUCGGUUGGCCAGGCUACGCCUGUGGCUACGACCACCCCCAACACCAAUGGUCCAGUUGUGGAAACGGUUGAGGUGAUCGAGAUCGAUCCACUGGAAAAGUCUGAAAAGAAGGUGGACUAUCUUAGUCUGCUUCAACAUUUAUCCAGGUUGGGUACGAAGCAUUUCUCCGGUAGCACCGACCCUAUUGUGGCAGACGAGUGGAGGAGUAGGCUGGUCCGAAACUUUCAAUCAACUCGCUGUCCAGUGGAUUACAGACGCGACAUUGCGGUUCACUUCCUGGAAGGGGACGCGCAUAACUGGUGGCUUGCAGUGGACAAGCGCACCAAUGGGAGUCUGGAAAGUUUUGCGGACUUUGAAAUUGAAUUCAACCGCAAAUACUUCCCUGCUGAGGCUUGGGAUCGUCUGGAAGCUCAGUUUCUAGAUUUGGCCCAAGGCCGCAGGACCGUACGAGAGUACGAAGAAGAGUUCAACCGGCUCAGACGGUUUGUUGGAAGAGAGCUGGAGGACGAGGCAGUCCAGGUCCGUAGGUUCAUCCGAGGCCUAAGGCCCGAACUGAAGACCCAUUGCUCGAUCCGCACUUUCAACACCGUCGGAGAACUGGUGGAACGGGUGGCUUUGCUAGAGUCUAACUUGGCUGAAGAAGCUAAGCUUAAGGCUAAGUCACAAUCUGGCCCGUCGGGCAAAACAAAUGAUAAAAAGAGGAAGUGGGACCAGGUGGACGGAGGUAAGACCUCUGGUGGCCGACCUACAUGUCCCAAGUGUGGAAAGAAUCAUCCCGGUGAGUGCUGGAAGGCCAUGGGGGCUUGUGUGCGAUGUGGCAGCAUGGAUCACACGAUCCAAAACUGCACUCGACCAAACCGAUUCUCAGACCAGUCCAGUGGCAGCGGCUCCGUGACUUGCUUCCUAUGUGGCAAGACUGGACACUACAAGUCGGACUGUCCUAAGCUACAAGGAGGACAAGGGAAGGGCCAUGGAGACACGGGCAAGUCGACCCAGAGUAGGCCGACCACAACACCAAGGGUGUAUGAGCUGUCCCGGGACGACGGCGCUUCUGGAUCGUUUGAUUCGAUCUUUGGUAAUUCCUAAAUUUUUCUUUUUACAUUCAAGUAGAAAAUGCUUGGUAUGGAACCUAGAAUGUCUAGGGGAUUCUGAUGAGGGUCUCUGUUAGGAACCCUCAUGAUUGGUGGUGUGGAAACCCACGUACUUUUCGACACAGGGGCUACACAUAGUUUUGUGAGUCCGGGACUGGUCGGAAAGGGUCUGUUCUGUCUGGACGCUGGAGAUAAUUUUGGGAUAGUGAGGGCGGCCGGAGGGCAAGCCAUGAACUCACUAGGUCUCAUGUCAAAUAUCCCAGUGUCAAUACAGGGAAAGGUAUUCCCUGUGGAUUUGGUCUGUGUCCACCUAAAGAAUCACGAAGUGAUCCUAGGUAUUGACUGGUUGGGAAAGUAUCGGGCCACUCUCGAUUGCCAUAGAGGUCGUGUGCAAUUGGAGACUGGGCUUCGACCGAUCCAGUACCAAUGUCUGUGUCCGGCUCAAGAGAAAGUAGUGGUUUCAGCAGUUCGAGCGAUUCGGAUGUUGGAACAGGGUUGUCAGUCCUUUUUGGCUACAAUUACAACUACAGAGCCGGGCAGUUCUGUCUGUCUGAAAGACCUUUCAGAGGAUUCGUUGGUGUCGAAGUUCCCAGAUGUGUUCCAGGUACCUCAGGGUGUCCCCCCAGAUAGGUCGGAUCCAUUUACGAUUAAACUAGAGCCAGGGACAGCUCCGCUGUCCAAGAGUCCGUACCGGAUGGCUCCGGCCGAAAUGGCCGAGCUAAAGAAGCAAUUGGAAGAAUUGCUUGACAAGGGGUUCAUACGGCCAAGUAGCUCCCCUUGGGGUGCACCAGUCCUCUUUGUGAUAAAGAAGGAUGGUAGCAUGCGUCUGUGCAUCGACUAUCGAGGGUUGAACAGGGUCAUUGUGAAGAACAAGUACCCAUUGCCCAGGAUAGACGAAUUGUUGGAUCAACUCAAAGGAGCCAAGUGGUUUUCCAAGCUUGAUUUGGCUUCAGGGUAUCAUCAGAUCCCUAUAGAGCCAAAUGAUGUUAGGAAGACGGCAUUUAGGACCAGGUACGGUCAUUACGAGUUCGUAGUGAUGCCGUUCGGUCUGACCAAUGCACCUGCCGCUUUCAUGAAAAUGAUGAACAGCGUGUUCCGAGAUUUCUUGGAUGAAUUCGUGAUCAUCUUCAUUGAUCCAGAUCGCUUUGAUUGUUGGUCUAAGGCGAUCGGAAGUAUUCUGAGAACCUCAGAUCGACCAUCGAGGAACAUCGACCGUGUCAUUUCCGGUCAUCUAUGAUCGGGGGUGUCACGGUCGGGGGCAUUCGUAUUUCAUAGUCAGAGGUGAAAUUCUUGGAUUUAUGAAAGACGAACAACUGCGAAAGCAUUUGCGAAGGAUGUUUUCAUUAAUCAAGAACGAAAGUUGGGGGCUCGAAGACGAUCAGAUACAGUCCUAGUCUCAACCAUAAACGAUGCCGACCAGGGAUCAGCGGAUGUUGCUUUUAGGACUCCGCUGGCACCUUAUGAGAAAUCAAAGUUUUUGGGUUCCGGGGGGAGUAUGGUCGCAAGGCUGAAACUUAAAGGAAUUGACGGAAGGGCACCACCAGGAGUGGAGCCUGCGGCUUAAUUUGACUCAACACGGGGAAACUUACCAGGUCCAGACAUAGUAAGGAUUGACAGACUGAGAGCUCUUUCUUGAUUCUAUGGGUGGUGGUGCAUGGCCGUUCUUAGUUGGUGGAGCGAUUUGUCUGGUUAAUUCCGUUAACGAACGAGACCUCAGCCUGCUAACUAGCUACGUUGAGGCAUCCCUUCACGGCCGGCUUCUUAGAGGGACUAUGGCCGUUUAGGCCAAGGAAGUUUGAGGCAAUAACAGGUCUGUGAUGCCCUUAGAUGUUCUGGACCGCACGCGCGCUACACUGAUGUAUUCAACGAGUUCACACCUUGGCCGACAGGCCCGGGUAAUCUUUGAAAUUUCAUCGUGAUGGGGAUAGAUCAUUGCAAUUGUUGGUCUUCAACGAGGAAUUCCUAGUAAGCGCGAGUCAUCAGCUCGCGUUGACUACGUCCCUGCCCUUUGUACACACCGCCCGUCGCUCCUACCGAUUGAAUGAUCCGGUGAAGUGUUCGGAUCGCGGCGACGUGGGUGGUUCGCCAUCUGCGACGUCGCUAGAAGUCCACUAAACCUUAUCAUUUAGAGGAAGGAGAAGUCGUAACAAGGUUUCCGU